CUUUCUGACUUGAUUCACUAUUGAGUUUGAAUCUUUAAUUCCUUGAUUCACUAUGUGUUAGUUGAUUUUAUUCUUACCUUAUUUACCUGAAACGCAUAUUUGAAGAACUUCUAUUAUGUAUUUACCCUUUAUUGCACAAUGUGUUACUGAUUUACUUUCCUUAAAUAAAACCUUGCCCUUUACUAUUCAAGGUCGAAUUCUUAAUAAAAGGAAUUCCCUUCUCCUGAUUGCUUCUGAUUGAUCCUGAAUUAUUUCCUUGCCUUAUUCCCUGCCUGCUUUCAAACAAUAAAUACCUUACUCCUUUUCUUUAAAACACACGAACAACUGAGUUCAAAAACACACACACACUCAAAGCUCUCUUCUCUGCAUUCUACUGAGCAUUCUACACUGCCUGGUCUUAUACAUUUGGAGUUUCUUGAGUUUGUUCCUGUUUAUUUCUGGUUGUCUGUUUGCUGCUAUUAGUCCGCUAUCCUAGAUUUAUAAUUUGUAUGCCCUUCUAUGUUCAAUAAGUAUUCUAAUUCAAUUUCUCUGCUUCUACCCCCUUUCUUUGUGUGUUCAUUUAUGCUUUCCUGCAUUAUUUAAUUACUUUUAAGCAUGUUAAUCCCUUUCCCAUAUUCCCUUUGUAUGUGAGUUUGUCCUAAAUCAUAACAGCAUUAUGAAUUGUUGUAUGUGAUUCAGGACUAGACUCUUUUGAUUCUCUACUCGAUUGUUUUCCCAUUCCCUUUCCCCCAAUGUGUUGAGGUAACUUGGGUCUGUUGAUGUCCUGAUCAUCAUUCAGGCCUGAGUUUGACUCUUUAAGAGUCUGCUCUUAUUUGCCUAAAUCUGAGUAGGAGGUUAGGGUGUGCCAUUCUAUGACGUGACUAGGUAUGACCACCUCCUGCUGAGUUGUACCCCCCUAUGGUAAGCCAUGCUGGGGACCCUAGAGUUCCCUCUGAACUUGGAUGCCUAAGGGCUGGUAAUUCCACACAUUGCACUACUUUGUUACAGCAUUCAAUCUUUCGAGAGUAAGCAUUGCCUGGGCUCUUGAAGAGCCUUGGAACUUUGAAAUACUCUAAGAGAAGGCCUUGGAAUCUGGAAUCCUGAUUUGGUGAAACACAUGUGUUGGAUGUUGAAGGUCGCAUUGAGCCUCCUCGGGUCUGACUUUAGUUUUGAUGUACUAUUUCAGUCUUUUUCUUUCCAGUUUUGUAAUAACUAUAUAAUAAAAAUUGGGAAAAAUAUUAGUAAAGGGUGUGGGUAGAGUUUAUGCUGCCUGCAUAAGUCAAAGGGUAGACAUCCUGCCUAUAGGUCUUUUAUGCUUUGAAUUAUCUAGAAAUCAUG
rnacentral:lncRNA from 1 species